UGGCCGUUGUGUUUGCACACUCUUCACCCUGCUCCUGCCCACUCUGCUUGUCACCUGCCCCCUGAUAACCCAUCACUCCUGAAAGAUCCUGAGUGCCUGGAUUUUGUCAUCCAGCCCUGCAGGAUGCUCCCAUUUGUCCUGAGGAAGGCUGUCCCAGACAGAGAGGAGGAGAUGGAGGUGGAUAUUGAGAUUGAUAGAGAGGAGGAGAUGGAGAGGGAGGGAGCAGACACUGGAGAGGAGGAGAUGGAGGUGGAUGUGGAUGAGGAGAAGAAGAGAUGGAGGUUGAUAUGGACGAGUCCAUUGAGGACAUGGACAUUGAUUGAAAAGGUGCGAUGGACAUCACAGAGACACCACCCUUUUGUAUAUAUGUUCUACAGUUUGUUGUUUUUCUUUAGAAUAUAGAGUUUAGGGCAAUUUUUGACUUCUGUAAAUACGUUUCCCAUAGUUUUGCUAGGUAGGUUUUUAUGUAUAUAUGUUCUAUCGAUUGUUGUUGUCACAAAUAUUCUUACAAUGUAAAUAUCUUCUGUAUUUUGCUGCUGUUUUUCUGUAAUAAACAAAUUUUAUUUUUCACA